AUAUCCUGUCUGGUAAGAGUGUUUUGCCUGCCUGAGACCUGGGGCCAUGCUCUACCGGUUUGGCGAGAUAAGUUUAUCCUGCCAAUGUGAUUUAUAGACGAUGCCAGGAUCUGAAGCCAGUCACAUAAAUGCCACAGGCUUGCAUGACUGAUCCUUAGUAAAAACUCUGGACAUAGGGCUCAGAAGUGGCUGCUUUCCUUGUACCCUGCCUCCAGUGCACAGAAGCAGAUACAGCCUGGAACCAAGAGUGAUGGUGGAUUUUGUAUCAGCCAUGGGUGCCCAGACAUUUGGGUACCAGUGUCUGUGAGGGAGCUGAUGCUACCAUUUCAAUCCACAGACUGAAGCAGCUUGCCCUCCUCAAGACGGGUGGGCCUCAUCCAAUCAAUUGAAGACCUGAAUAUACAAAAAGACCAUGUGGCUCCUGAAAACAGUAUUGGAUUCCUCAUCUCUGGCUUCUCCUGAGCAGCUCUUGAGGUGACUGACCCAUGGCAAAUGACUCAGUAAAUGACUCUUUGAUGUCACCUAGAGAAGCACAGCCAUCUGACCCCCAGUACAGGAAGCGAGGGUUUGAAGCGGCCCUCUGUAAAGGAGAAUAAAUGAUUGCAAAGUCUUUGGAUUGUAUUUCUGAAGAACUACGUGCUAUCAACAUUUAUUUCCAAUUUACCACUUGAAUGCAGUGCCUGGAGACUGAAGCAGGUGAACUGGCAUGUGACCUGGCCCUGUUGGGGGCCAACCUAACAGAGUUCUCUGGAUUAGUGUCCAGGUAGAACACAAUGUUGACUGAAGGAAACGUCAUAAAAAUGUGUUAAUCUGAAGUUUACAGAUGUAUUAAUAAAAUGCAAUUGUUUAGAAAUUAGGUAAAGUUUUUUUUUGAAGGCAGAGUAUUUUAUCAAAGAUUCUAUUUAUCAUUGGCUGUUUGUGGAGGUUACAUCUUUUCUGGAUGAUUCACCCCUCAUAACCUUCAUGUGGGGCAGACUUCUCCCAUAUCCUACCUUAGCACCCACCUGCAAGAUUGGACUCCUUCUCACCAUCUUCCCUGACACCUUGGCGGUCCCAUCCAUGCUCUCUUGCCUGGAUUCUUGUCAUUGUCACAGUUAGGGGCUGAAUUGUGUCACCCUCAGGCUCCACCUGCAAAAUUCAUGUGUGGAAGCCCUGACCCCUAGUACCUCAGAAUGUGACAGUGUUUGAAGACAGA